rnacentral:lncRNA from 1 species
UUUUUUCAGGCAGCUCAGAAGCAGAACUACUGCUCACAGGGCGGGGCGCAGCCCAUUUUUCUCUUGCUUAAACCACACAGUCCUGUUUCAACAAAUGGCAGAAAGAGGUUUUUCGAUGGACCAGAUGGGACCCCUGGACCGCUUGCUUCACCAGACGCAAGUGGACUCCUGGAAUCCCUUUGAGAUCGGCCCUUGAUAGAAUUGCCCAAACGAGGGCCCUCUUCCUACCCCAUUCCCCUUCGUUGUCACCCUCUCGCAUCCCACAGGCCAGGCGUUGUGUCCCUCGGAGCGCAAAGCCCUCCACCGCAGGUACUGGACUGGGAGGAUUUCAGGAGCCCAGGAUUUCGCUUACAAGAUCCUUGUUGCAGGAUUCAGGGAAGGCGCAACCACAUCGGGUAAUGGCGUGGGCCCCCCCGCAGCCUUCACAGGGCCCCCGGAAAGGACACAGUACAAUACGGUCCCUGGGCAUAGCAGACGUUUUUAUUUUAACAUUUCUGAAUAGAAAUUGAAUCAUGUAAGCUACUAUUAUUGAUAUGGUUCUAUUUAAUGUGUAUUUCAUAUUACAAAAAAACAAAACAAAAAGGGAAAAAUUUAUAACAAGAAAGGGUACAAUUCGAGACUAUUUUAGCCACUUUCUCUCUGGCCUUUGCUGCCACCUAGCAGAAAUACCUUUCUAUUGAAAACGUCAAUUUUAAUAGAAAGUGUUUCCCCCCCCCCUUGAAGAAUGGGAUGAUGACUAGAGUGAGCCCAUUCUGACCUUCCCUGGGCAAUGACGGCCCCCUCCUGGCUUCUCCUUCAACUCCGGAAACAACACUGGGUGGCUUCUCAUGUGAACGAAGGAAGAAGAAGGUGCAUGGAUCGGCCAGUUCUGCCCCUUGAAUCUUAAUGCUUUACUUUAUUGGUUGAUUGCUUAAAACCAUAGGUCAUCGCAAUAUAUCCAUGACAGCAUCAAACAUACGUGGCACGGUCAUAUCACAAUUACACUUAAAAAGAAAGAUUUAGGAUUUUUGAUGCUUGGCACGACUCUUCUUGGCUGCCAUGGCAAAUUUUGCUACUUGAUGGGUAGUCCUUACAUCCCUGCCCACAAGCAGCCUGCAGAGUUGAGCCAAGGGAGGGCUGUCACGCAAAGUUCUAAGUCUGCCUGCAAGGAAUUUACUCCCAGGGUGAUCCUAUAAUGACUCCUUCUCCUCCUGAUUGAGAAAAGAGGUUUUUAAAGGUACUGGCUGCAAGUGGCGGCUCUUGAGUGGAAUAACGGUGCCGUUUGUAAGAUGUCUCCUCCU